UACGAAGGGGGCUAGCGUUGCUCGGAAUCACUGGGCGUAAAGGGUGCGUAGGCGGGUCUUUAAGUCAGUGGUGAAAUCCUGGAGCUCAACUCCAGAACUGCCUUUGAUACUGAGGAUCUUGAGUUCGGGAGAGGUGAGUGGAACUGCGAGUGUAGAGGUGAAAUUCGUAGAUAUUCGCAAGAACGCCAGUGGCGAAGGCGGCUCACUGGCCCGAUACUGACGCUGAGGCACGAAAGCGUGGGGAGCAAACAGG
rnacentral:rRNA from 1 species